UACGUAGGUGGCAAGCGUUUGUCCGGAUUUAUUGGGUUUAAAGGGUGCGUAGGCGGUUUUGUAAGUCAGUGGUGAAAUACUCCAGCUUAACUGGAGGGGUGCCAAUGAUACUGCAGAACUUGAGUACAGAUGAGGUAGGCGGAAUUGACGGUGUAGCGGUGAAAUGCAUAGAUACCAUCAAGAACACCGAUUGCGAAGGCAGCUUACUAAGCUGUAACUGACGCUGAGGCACGAAAGCGUGGGGAUCGAACAGG
rnacentral:rRNA from 1 species